ACUCAAAUGAAUUGACGGGGACCCGCACAAGCGGUGGAGCGUGUUGUUUAAUUCGAUGGUAAGCGAAGAACCUUACCCAGGCUUGACAUCCUGCGAAUUUCUACGAAAGUAGAAAGUGCUUUAUUGAGCGCAGUGACAGGUGAUGCAUGGCCGUCGUCAGCUCGUGUCGUGAGAUGUUUGGUUAAGUCCAUCAACGAGCGCAACCCUUAUAGUUAGUUGUAUUUUUCUAGCUAGACUGCCCUGGUAACAGGGAGGAAGGAGGGGAUGAUGUCAGGUCAGUAUUUCCCUUACGUCUGGGGCUACAAACACGCUACAAUGGCCGGUACAAAGGGCAGCCAAGUCGCGAGACGGAGCAAAUCCCAUCAAAGCCGGUCUCAGUUCGGAUAGCAGGCUGAAACUCGCCUGCUUGAAGUCGGAAUCGCUAGUAACGGUAGGUCAGAACACUACCGUGAAUACGUUCCCGGGUCUUGCACACACCGCCCGU
rnacentral:rRNA from 1 species